UACGUAGGGGGCAAGCGUUGUCCGGAAUCAUUGGGCGUAAAGAGCGUGUAGGCGGCUAGGUAGGUCCGUUGUGAAAACUCGAGGCUCAACCUCGAGACGCCGAUGGAAACCAUCUAGCUAGAGUCCGGAAGAGGAGAGUAGAAUUCCUGGUGUAGCGGUGAAAUGCGCAGAUAUCAGGAAGAACACCCGUGGCUAAGGCGGCUCUCUAGUACGGUACUGACGCUGAGACGCGAAAGCGUGGGGAGCGAACAGG
rnacentral:rRNA from 1 species